AGAGUUUGAUCAUGGCUCAGAAUCAACGCUGGCGGCGUGCCUCAGACAUGCAAGUCGAACGCGAAAGUUCCCUUCGGGGGGCGAGUAGAGUGGCGCACGGGUGAGUAACACGUAGGUAAUCUACCUUUGGAUUGGGAAUAACAACCGGAAACGGUUGCUAAUACCGAAUAAUGCAGCGGCACCUAAUGGUGACAGUUGUUAAAGCGGGGGAUCGCAAGACCUCGCGUCUGAAGAGGAGCCUGCGGCGGAUUAGCUAGUUGGUAGGGUAACGGCUUACCAAGGCGAUGAUCCGUAGCCGGCCUGAGAGGGCGGUCGGCCACACUGACACUGACAUACGGGUCAGACUCCUACGGGAGGCAGCAGUCGGGAAUUUUGGGCAAUGGGCGAAAGCCUGACCCAGCAACGCCGCGUGAAGGAUGAAAUCCCUCGGGAUGUAAACUUCGCAAGAACGGGAAGAAUAAGUAAGAGUUAAUAUCUCUUACGAUGACGGUACUGUUUGUAAGCUCCGGCUAACUCCGUGCCAGCAGCCGCGGUAAUAC
rnacentral:rRNA from 1 species